rnacentral:rRNA from 1 species
UACGUAGGUGGCAAGCGUUGUCCGGAAUUAUUGGGCGUAAAGCGCGCGCAGGUGGUUCCUUAAGUCUGAUGUGAAAGCCCACGGCUCAACCGUGGAGGGUCAUUGGAAACUGGGGAACUUGAGUGCAGAAGAGGAAAGUGGAAUUCCAAGUGUAGCGGUGAAAUGCGUAGAGAUUUGGAGGAACACCAGUGGCGAAGGCGACUUCUGGUCUGUAACUGACACUGAGGCGCGAAAGCGUGGGAGCAACAGG